rnacentral:rRNA from 1 species
CCUACGGGGGGCUGCAGUGGGGAAUAUUGGACAAUGGGGGCAACCCUGAUCCAGCCAUGCCGCGUGUGUGAAGAAGGCCCUCGGGUUGUAAAGCACUUUCAGUGAGGAAGAACGCCUGGUGGUUAAUACCCAUCAGGAAAGACAUCACUCACAGAAGAAGCACCGGCUAACUCCGUGCCAGCAGCCGCGGUAAUACGGAGGGUGCGAGCGUUAAUCGGAAUUACUGGGCGUAAAGCGCGCGUAGGUGGCUUGAUAAGCCGGUUGUGAAAGCCCCGGGCUCAACCUGGGAACGGCAUCCGGAACUGUGAAGCUAGGGUGCAGGAGUGGAUAGUAGAAUUCCCGGUGUAGCGGUUAAAUGCGUAGAGAACGGGAGGAAUACAAGUGGCUAAGGCGGCCUUCUGGACUGACACUGACACUGAGGUGCGAAAGCGUGGGUAUCAAACAGGGUUAGAUACCCCAGUAGGC